rnacentral:rRNA from 11 species
UUUGGCCGGAGUUCCCUAAAGGCACAAAAUCUGGUCUGAUCUUGGAAGCUAAGCAGGGCCGGCCCUGGUUAGGACUUGGAUGGGUGACACCCAGCGAAUAGCAGAAGAUGGAGCCAAUC